AUCAUCCCCAAGGCUAUUCAACCAAAUUAUAAUUACAUGGAUGUUUAUCAUGGGGCUAUAUUGUUUACUUAAAAUGCAUGUUUUAUUUAAAUUUUAAGGCUCAUUAAAAUACAUAUUAUUUUCAAUGAGGGAAGAGAACAUGCCUUAAGAGAAAACUUUCGUGGAACUCAGAAAAGGGCUCAUGAUAAGAAAAGGAGCUCUAGAGGCCCAGGUUAAAUAAGUCUGCUAACAUGCACUUUCUGAUGGCUCACCGCUGUAAACAACUCCUUCAAACGACAAAUCAACAGAUGAUAAAGGACAAUGAUUCUAGAAUAGUUACACCUGAAUCGGGAGUUCCUCAACAGCUUCGACCAAUCAAUUUCACUCACUUUAUGGGAGGAAGAGAAAACUCAUAAACCCAAUCAUAAUAGAAAAAGAUAAGUCAAUUAGAAACUAUUACACAAGCACCCAUAAAGACAAACGCAGUAGCGAAAGAUCCGACGGAGGUGAUGGAGGAUCUAACCAAGGCGGCAAGGAAGCUCACCUUCUCAGCUAGAAAGAAGAAUCCAAAACCUUCUAUGGCAACCCAACAAGCAAUGUUGCAGCAAUGGGAAGUACAACAUCAACAAAACUUACAGAACCAUGAUGCCGCAGCAAGCAAGUGUCGAGUGGAAAAAAUUAGCCAUGCUGAAAGAUCUAAUCCCUAGACAUUAAUUCAUCAUAUGGAUGACUUUGCACCAAAGAUUAUCAGCAGUGGAUAGAGUUAGUCAAUGGGGCAUCCAAGUGGCUACUAACUGUGUACUGGUGAAACCACAGCAAUAGAGAACCAUGGAUACCUCUUCUUUAGUUGCCCAUACUCCAACUACAUAUGGACUAUGCUACUAAAAUGGAUAGGCAUUUAUAGGAGAAUAAAAGAUUUGAUGGCAGAAGUAUGUUUGAUUACAAAAAAGGUACGUCACAGGAGACCAAAAAUGCAGCUAUUGGGCUUGUUAUUUGCGGCUAUGAUGUACUGUGUAUGGAGAGAAAGAAACCAUAGAAGAUUCCAAAAAAUGAAGCAGAGUGCCAACAACAUUAUCAAAGAAAUUAUCCUACUGGUUCAUCUAGGAGGGAUAAGAAACUGUAAAUGCACUAGUUGCCUCAAGAGUUUAAAUUAUUCUCACAUUUAAUGACUAUCCUGAGGUCUGUUCAGGGAGUUACUAAGAUACAGAUAGACAUAGAGAUAGCUGUAGAAAAAACUAGCUGAGUCCAAAGUUUUCUGUACAUAUUUCUUACUGGUUAAAUAAAAAAUUUCUGUUUGACCGAAAAAGAUCUACUAAACUAUCAAUGUCAUUAAUGAUAUUGAUGGUGACGCUUUCUUAAUGCUCCUAAUGGUUGUGAUAACAUUGUAUAUUUUCCUUCCAAGGGUAUGCAAUUACUACUGUCAAGGCUGCCCUAGUUGCUUCCAAGGGAGCUCGUACAGUGGGUAAGGUUUUUAAGGCAUCCGAUUUUGUUGAAUUUUAAUAUUGAAUUUGUUGCAAAUUAAGUACGAAGAUGAUGUAGCGAAUAAUACUAUUGACAUUUUCAAGAGCAUUGAUGACGCUGUCAAAAGUGUUGAUGAUGUCAUGAUGAAUACAUAUGAGGCUAUUCAGGUUGCAGAAGAUGUUGUCCAGAUUGUAGUUGUUGCCACUGUAACUGUUGUGGCUGUCCAAAGUUCAGUCAAUGUUGCUAAGAAUCAUAUUAGUGUGAUCGGGGCUAAUGUGCCCAAUCCUAAUAGAGUUAGUGUAGUUGUGCUCUCGUGGAUUUCGAAAGGACGUCAGUAUAACAACAACAAAGAUGAUCACAAAGGUGCACAUUACGAUCCCGAAUCUUAGGUGAUUGGUCGAGGUCCUAGCAACAUCCUUCACAUGUCUGCUAGACACAAGAAAUAUACUAACGUGUUUGGUGAAAUAACGAAAGUGUUCUUUUU